UACGUAGGUGACAAGCGUUGUCCGGAUUUACUGGGCGUAAAGAGCGCGCAGGCGGUCGUGCAAGUCGCGUGUGAAAGCCCCCGGCUCAACUGGGGAGGGUCACGCGAUACUGCUCGACUCGAAGGCAGGAGAGGGAAGUGGAAUUCCCGGUGUAGUGGUGAAAUGCGUAGAUAUCGGGAGGAACACCAGUGGCGAAGGCGACUUCCUGGCCUGUUCUUGACGCUGAGGCGCGAAAGCUAGGGUAGCAAACGGG
rnacentral:rRNA from 1 species